GAUGAACGCUAGCUAUAGGCUUAACACAUGCCAGUCGAGGGGAAACGGCAUUAUGUGCUUGCACAUUUUGGACGUCGACCGGCGCACGGGUGAGUAUCGCGUAUCCCACCUGCCCUUUACUUGGGGAUACCCCGUUGAAAGACGGCCUAAUACCCGAUGUAAUGCAUUGAUGGCAGCAGAUAUGAAUAAAAGAUUUAUCGGUAAAGGAUGGGGAUGCGUCUGAUUAGCUUGUUGGUGAGGUAACGGCUCACCAAGGCGACGAUCAGGAAGGGUUCUGAGAGUAAGGUCCCCCACAGUGGAACUGAGACACGGUCCAAACACAUACGGGAGGCAGCAGUGAGGAAGACUGGUCAAUGGGCGCAAGCCUGAACCAGCCAAGUAGCGUGCAGGAAGACGGCCCUAGGGGUGGUAAACUGCUUUUAUACGAGAAUAAUUUGAUGCACGUGUGCGUUAUUGCAUGUAUCGUAUGAAUAAGGACCGGCUAAUUCCGUG
rnacentral:rRNA from 1 species